rnacentral:rRNA from 1 species
GAUGAACGCUAGCGGCAGGCUUAAUACAUGCAAGUCGAGGGGCAGCAGGGAUAGCAAUAUUCGCUGGCGACCGGCGCACGGGUGCGUAACACGUAUACAAUCUGCCUUUUACAGGGGGAUAGCCUUUCGAAAGAGAGAUUAAUACCCCAUAAUAGUUGACCGGGCAUCUGGUUGAUUUGAAAGCUCCGGCGGUAAGAGAUGAGUAUGCGCCUGAUUAGCUAGUAGGUGAGGUAACGGCUCACCUAGGCUACGAUCAGUAGGGGAUCUGAGAGGACUAACCCCCACACGGAUACUGAGACACGGAUCCGACUCCUACGGGAGGCAGCAGUAAGGAAUAUUGGACAAUGCCCGCAAGGGUGAUCCAGCCAUGCCGCGUGCAGGAAGAAGGCCCUAUGGGUCGUAAACUGCUUUUACACCGGAGAAAACCUCCCCUCGUGAGGGGAGCUGAUAGUAUGGUGAGAAUAAGCAUCGGCUAACUUCGUGCCAG